GAUGAACGCUGGCGGCGUGCCUAAUACAUGCAAGUCGAGCGAACGGACGAGAAGCUUGCUUCUCUGAUGUUAGCGGCGGACGGGUGAGUAACACGUGGAUAACCUACCUAUAAGACUGGGAUAACUUCGGGAAACCGGAGCUAAUACCGGAUAAUAUUUUGAACCGCAUGGUUCAAAAGUGAAAGACGGUCUUGCUGUCACUUAUAGAUGGAUCCGCGCUGCAUUAGCUAGUUGGUAAGGUAACGGCUUACCAAGGCAACGAUGCAUAGCCGACCUGAGAGGGUGAUCGGCCACACUGGAACUGAGACACGGUCCAGACUCCUACGGGAGGCAGCAGUAGGGAAUCUUCCGCAAUGGGCGAAAGCCUGACGGAGCAACGCCGCGUGAGUGAUGAAGGUCUUCGGAUCGUAAAACUCUGUUAUUAGGGAAGAACAUAUGUGUAAGUAACUGUGCACAUCUUGACGGUACCUAAUCAGAAAGCCACGGCUAACUACGUGCCAGCAGCCGCGGUAAUACGUAGGUGGCAAGCGUUAUCCGGAAUUAUUGGGCGUAAAGCGCGCGUAGGCGGUUUUUUAAGUCUGAUGUGAAAGCCCACGGCUCAACCGUGGAGGGUCAUUGGAAACUGGAAAACUUGAGUGCAGAAGAGGAAAGUGGAAUUCCAUGUGUAGCGGUGAAAUGCGCAGAGAUAUGGAGGAACACCAGUGGCGAAGGCGACUUUCUGGUCUGUAACUGACGCUGAUGUGCGAAAGCGUGGGGAUCAAACAGGAUUAGAUACCCUGGUAGUCCACGCCGUAAACGAUGAGUGCUAAGUGUUAGGGGGUUUCCGCCCCUUAGUGCUGCAGCUAACGCAUUAAGCACUCCGCCUGGGGAGUACGACCGCAAGGUUGGAACUCAAAGGAAUUGACGGGGACCCGCACAAGCGGUGGAGCAUGUGGUUUAAUUCGAAGCAACGCGAAGAACCUUACCAAAUCUUGACAUCCUUUGACAACUCUAGAGAUAGAGCCUUCCCCUUCGGGGGACAAAGUGACAGGUGGUGCAUGGUUGUCGUCAGCUCGUGUCGUGAGAUGUUGGGUUAAGUCCCGCAACGAGCGCAACCCUUAAGAUUAGUUGCCAUCAUUAAGUUGGGCACUCUAAGUUGACUGCCGGUGACAAACCGGAGGAAGGUGGGGAUGACGUCAAAUCAUCAUGCCCCUUAUGAUUUGGGCUACACACGUGCUACAAUGGACAAUACAAAGGGCAGCGAAACCGCGAGGUCAAGCAAAUCCCAUAAAGUUGUUCUCAGUUCGGAUUGUAGUCUGCAACUCGACUACAUGAAGCUGGAAUCGCUAGUAAUCGUAGAUCAGCAUGCUACGGUGAAUACGUUCCCGGGUCU
rnacentral:rRNA from 1 species